rnacentral:lncRNA from 1 species
UGGAUAACUUAUGCUGGUACGACUUAGAGGAGUUUUAAGUCACGACUUACGAGUGACUACAUUACGAAGCCAAAGGCUAAUAUUGAAUGCCCGUGGUGAAAUAUCAUUUUCUUGACAAGAAGGUUUGGAAAACUUUUGUGAACUCUCGUAAUAGUGAGGAGUUCAUAGUUAGUACUGUAGCGGUAAAUUCAUGACCAUCGAGCUAUUAGUUAACUCAACGUCAAUAAAACCAGAGUUACCACCGCGCUUUUAUUG